AACUUUAAAUUACUAAAAAAGUUUUUUAAUAAUAAUUAUUAUUUAAUUAUAUAAUAAUAGUUUGUGUUUUUUUGGUAAAAUUUAGUAAAUGUAAUGAUAUUUUUAUUCUUGCAAUUUAUUUAUAUAUUUAUUUAUUGAAAUAAAUCCUGCAGUCUCAAAGACCAAACACAGAUUUAUCAUUGUACAAAAUUUGUAAAUUAUGUAAUGGCGAUUGAAAUUUGGCAUGUACAUAUGCACAUAAACCUACAAUAUCGGAUCCUCUCUAUAAUAAUUUAUCAUACACGUAAAAAAAUCUCUCAAGGAUUGUUCAAAGAUGUCCAAAUUAUAUACAGAAUUAUCAUAAAUCCCAUUUUACACAUCACAGAUUCUUAAUAUUGGUGUAUUUUUAUCUGCGCGAGCAGUAUAAAAAGGUCUUGAGUCACGAGAAUGAUACUGAGGGACACAAAAAGAGAAAGUUCAUUAAAUCUACUACAUAGUUGUGCAUAAUCAGAACCCUGGGAAGAGCAGUAAUUAAAUUUGGAUCUAACCAAAGAGUAAAAUAGAGAUUUAAUAGCAGUUAUGUUUUUAAAUUUACUACAUGAUCUGAAUGAAUAUAAAUAUGAACUCCUGCAGGCAGGCAGGCGGCCGAGAGGUGAGAGUGCGGCCUUAGCCUCACGAACUAUUGGCCAUUCAAACAGCUACACUAGCGCCACAGUUGAACUAACGUAAGCGUGAUUCGCUCUGUAGCACUCCAUGUGUUUUAAAUUAUUUUUUUUUAUUUAACGCUUCAAAAUUAUUUUACAAACGCAUUAAAAAUAUCAGAAUAAUUAAAUAAUUUGAAAUAAACUGUGGCGCUAGUGUAACUGUUUGAAUCGCCAAUAGUGUCAAUAUGUGUAUUAAAUUUAAGUGAAGGUGUGAAAUGUACUCCCAAAUCUUUUAUCAUAUAAACUUUUUCUAAUUGUAUUCCAUCAAAUAUCCAAGAAAUUGUUUUUGCAUCAAUUGUUAAACUUAUUAAUAUCGCUUUGGAGGUUUUCGCAAUCCUCGAUGCAGUUUAUUGCUUUUAAUAAUUUGGUAUCAUCGGCAUACAAUAAAAAGUCAUUACAAAAAAUAGAUUCGAAUUCAUUCAUAUAUAUCACGAAAAGUAGAGGUCCACGAUUUGAACCUUGAGGAACCCCAGAAGUAGGAACAAAAGAAUAUGAAGAAAAACCAUUAUAAGAAACAGUCA